GACGAACGCUGGCGGCGUGCUUAACACAUGCAAGUCGAACGGAAAGGCCCUGCUUUUGUGGGGUGCUCGAGUGGCGAACGGGUGAGUAACACGUGAGUAACCUGCCCUUGACUUUGGGAUAACUUCAGGAAACUGGGGCUAAUACCGGAUAGGAGCUCCUGCUGCAUGGUGGGGGUUGGAAAGUUUCGGCGGUUGGGGAUGGACUCGCGGCUUAUCAGCUUGUUGGUGGGGUAGUGGCUUACCAAGGCUUUGACGGGUAGCCGGCCUGAGAGGGUGACCGGCAACAUUGGGACUGAGAUACGGCCCAGACUCCUACGGGAGGCAGCAGUGGGGAAUAUUGCACAAUGGGCGGAAGCCUGAUGCAGCAACGCCGCGUGCGGGAUGACGGCAUUCGGGUUGUAAACCGAUUUCGCCUGUGACGAAGCGUGAGUGACGGUAAUGGGUAAAGAAGCACCGGCUAACUACGUG
rnacentral:rRNA from 1 species